rnacentral:rRNA from 1 species
UACAGAGGGUGCGAGCGUUAAUCGGAAUUACUGGGCGUAAAGCGUGCGCAGACGGUUGCGUAAGUCAGAUGUGAAAGCCCCGGGCUCAACCUGGGAACGGCGCGCGAAACGGGGGGGCUGGAGUUCGGGAGAGGAGCGUGGAAUUCCCAGUGUAGAGGUGAAAUUCGUAGAUAUUGGGAAGAACACCGGUGGCGAAGGCGGCGCUCUGGACCGAGACUGACGCUGAGGCGCGAAAGCGUGGGGAGCAAACAGG